rnacentral:lncRNA from 1 species
GAAGCUUUUAUGACGCCAUGGAUCAUUAACAACAACAACGACUGUGUUUAUAAAAUGAACUGUUUGUUUAUGUUUUGGGUUAGUUGAAAGUGUGACAUUCGAAGCGUUCCUGCGAGUCCCCGAAGCGAUCUCUUUUUGUGAUUCUCAGCUGUGUUCCUUAAAUUAUUCUUGCAUCUGAUUUUUUCUCAAUCAAAAUGAGGUUCGAAAAGAACCACAGUGCUUUUGUACUGCUCGGCCUCUGCGCUUUCGUAGCGGUAGCAAGUGCUCAACUUCAAAACCACCACUUUGGAAAACCAUCGAAAAUGGAAUGCGGAAGGACAUCGAAGCGGCCCACCAAGACUUUAUGGACUUGUUCGCUCAACCCUCGGACUUGAAACCCAAAGUUGAGGCCUCGGCCGCGACGAGCAGUGAGGAGAAACCCACCGUCUCGGCGCCCUCUGCCACCGAUGUCGCAACCACCAACGACACCAGGUCCACCGAAAACGACUCCAGCGAGGAGGACAUCUCCGGAGAGACCGAAAUGGAACUCUUCAAGAAAGUGUUCGGCAGGCCCAUUCCAAGUCUAUUCAGCCUUUUGAAUCAGAUGUCUCCCGCCAAACAAUGGUGGCAAGGGUAAGAAUCUUUUUAAAUUAUUCAGAGUGACAAGCUCUUAAAAAGUCAUUGAAAACCUGGAAAAGUCAAGGAAUUUUGCUCAACACUGGAAAGUCAGAGAAUUUUUCUGCAGAAUUUUAAAAAUCCUUCCUCUGGUCUGAAAAUGUCAUUAUUUCCUAUCGCUUUUACUUACUUGCUCUACCGACGAAAAUUAGGUUGAUAAGUUCUCAAAUUUUCGAUUUUUUUUCUAUUUCUAGAGACAUAUACCUAAGGCAAAAUUAUUUCGGUGAAAAGCAUCUUCAUUUGAAAUGAUAAAAAACUUUGAAAAGUCUUGGAAAAUUCAGACAAUUUUUUAGUCCAAAAGCUUGAAAAGUCAUGGCAUUUUGAAGUCACUCUGAAAUAGCCUCACGCCCUCACGGAAAGAAUUAAAUUGCUGAUUUAACAAUUUUGCAGUUAAAUAAAGUGACUGCAAUGUUUUAAUGUAGAUUUUACAAUAAAAGAAUGGUAAUUUAACC